rnacentral:rRNA from 1 species
GACGAACGCUGGCGGCGUGCCUAAUACAUGCAAGUCGAACGCAGUGGGGACGGGUGAGUAACACGUGGGUAACCUCCCAUCAGAGGGGAUAACACUUGGAAACAGGUGCUAAACCGAUACUGAUGGAUGGACCCGCGGUGCAUUAGCUAGUUGGUGAGGUAACGGCUCACCAAGGCCACGAUGCAUAGCCGACCUGAGAGGGUGAUAGGCCACAGUGGCACGGAGACACGGCGCAGACGCCUACGGGAGGCAGCAGUAGUGAAUCUUCGGCAAUGGACGAAAGUCUGACGGAGCAACGCCGCGUGAGUGAAGAAGGUUUGCGGAUCGUAAAACUCUGUUGUUAGAGAAGCGGUAUCUACAGAAUAAGCACCGGCUAACUACGUGCCAGAAGCCGCGGUAAUAC